UACGUAGGGUGCGAGCGUUAAUCGGAAUUACUGGGCGUAAAGCGUGCGCAGGCGGUUUUGUAAGCCAGGUGUGAAAUCCCCGGGCUCAACCUGGGAAUGGCAUUUGGGACUGCAAGGCUGGAGUGCGGCAGAGGAGACUGGAAUUCCUGGUGUAGCAGUGAAAUGCGUAGAUAUCAGGAGGAACACCGAUGGCGAAGGCAGGUCUCUGGGCUGACACUGACGCUCAUGCACGAAAGCGUGGGGAGCA
rnacentral:rRNA from 1 species